ACACCGAUGGUGAAGUGGUUAUCAUGCUUGCCUUCCAUGAGUUAGCAAGCGGCAGGGGUUCGAUUCCCCUUCGGUGUA
rnacentral:tRNA from 1 species